rnacentral:lncRNA from 1 species
UUGUUCUCAAAUUUAGAAGAGAGACAUCAGCAAGAUGGUGAAAUACAAAGUCCUGGACCCUCCUUCCCUCCACAAAUACACUGAUUUGACAAAAAUUCAUGGACAGAUUCCCUUUGUAAGAAACCAAGAAACUGGUUAAGAGGCUCUUAUAUCCCAGAUUUUGGUUCCCUGACUGAGAAUGAAUGCAUUGCUAGUGGAUCUGCUACCAAGGGCCAGGAGUCUCAGAGUUCCUCACAAGCAGCUGCCAGCCCAAUUUUGUCUGGAGGUGUGUUUCCUUCUCUCUGGCCCUACCACUGCCAGCCCCAACCAUGUUCCUGAUUGCCUCGGAAGAACAAUCUUUGCAUUUGACAUCUGCAUCCAGAUAGCCUCCCAAAGUGCUGGGAUUACAGGCGUGAGCCACCGCGCCCGGCCGACAGAUGUUUUUUAA